rnacentral:tRNA from 1 species
GCCGGGGUGGCGGAAUCGGCAGACGCAGGCGACUUAAAAUCGCUGGUGGUUUCCACAUGCGGGUUCAAGUCCCGCCCCCGGCACCA